UACAGAGGUCCCGAGCGUUGUUCGGAUUCAUUGGGCGUAAAGGGUGCGUAGGCGGCGGGGAAAGUCUGAUGUGAAAUCCUGGGGCUCAACCCUGGAACUGCAUUGGAUACUUCCUUGCUAGAGUACUGGAGAGGAAACUGGAAUUUACGGCGUAGCAGUGAAAUGCGUAGAUAUCGUGAGGAACACCAGAGGCGAAGGCGGUUACCUGGACAGUUACUGACGCUCAGGCACGAAAGCAUGGGGAGCAAAAGGG
rnacentral:rRNA from 1 species